GAUGAACGCUGGCGGCGUGCCUAAUACAUGCAAGUCGAGCGAACGGACGAGAAGCUUGCUUCUCUGAUGUUAGCGGCGGACGGGUGAGUAACACGUGGAUAACCUACCUAUAAGACUGGGAUAACUUCGGGAAACCGGAGUUAAUACCGGAUAAUAUUUUGAACCGCAUGGUUCAAAAGUGAAAGACGGUCUUGCUGUCACAUAUAGAUGGAUCCGCGCUGCAUUAGCUAGUUGGUAAGGUAACGGCUUACCAAGGCAACGAUGCAUAGCCGACCUGAGAGGGUGAUCGGCCACACUGGAACUGAGACACGGUCCAGACUCCUACGGGAGGCAGCAGUAGGGAAUCUUCCGCAAUGGGCGAAAGCCUGACGGAGCAACGCCGCGUGAGUGAUGAAGGUCUUCGGAUCGUAAAACUCUGUUAUUAGGGAAGAACAUAUGUGUAAGUAACUGUGCACAUCUUGACGGUACCUAAUCAGAAAGCCACGGCUAACUACGUGCCAGCAGCCGCGGUAAUACGUAGGUGGCAAGCGUUAUCCGGAAUUAUUGGGCGUAAAGCGCGCGUAGGCGGUUUUUUAAGUCUGAUGUGAAAGCCCACGGCUCAACCGUGGAGGGUCAUUGGAAACUGGAAAACUUGAGUGCAGAAGAGGAAAGUGGAAUUCCAUGUGUAGCGGUGAAAUGCGCAGAGAUAUGGAGGAACACCAGUGGCGAAGGCGACUUUCUGGUCUGUAACUGACGCUGAUGUGCGAAAGCGUGGGGAUCAAACAGGAUUAGAUACCCUGGUAGUCCACGCCGUAAACGAUGAGUGCUAAGUGUUAGGGGGUUUCCGCCCCUUAGUGCUGCAGCUAACGCAUUAAGCACUCCGCCUGGGGAGUACGACCGCAAGGUUGAAACUCAAAGGAAUUGACGGGGACCCGCACAAGCGGUGGAGCAUGUGGUUUAAUUCGAAGCAACGCGAAGAACCUUACCAAAUCUUGACAUCCUUUGACAACUCUAGAGAUAGAGCCUUCCCCUUCGGGGGGGCAAAGUGACAGGUGGUGCAUGGUUGUCGUCAGCUCGUGUCGUGAGAUGUUGGGUUAAGUCCCGCAACGAGCGCAACCCUUAAGCUUAGUUGCCAUCAUUAAGUUGGGCACUCUAAGUUGACUGCCGGUGACAAACCGGAGGAAGGUGGGGAUGACGUCAAAUCAUCAUGCCCCUUAUGAUUUGGGCUACACACGUGCUACAAUGGACAAUACAAAGGGCAGCGAAACCGCGAGGUCAAGCAAAUCCCAUAAAGUUGUUCUCAGUUCGGAUUGUAGUCUGCAACUCGACUACAUGAAGCUGGAAUCGCUAGUAAUCGUAGAUCAGCAUGCUACGGUGAAUACGUUCCCGGGUCU
rnacentral:rRNA from 1 species